GGCUUGUUGGUCUAGUGGCAUGAUUCCUGCUUAGGGUGCAGGAGGUUCUGGGUUCAACUCCCAGGCGAGCCC